UGUUGAGCAGGAAUUGGUAUCAAUUGUAAUAUCUCGUUUCCGUUCAUUAUUUCCACCAAGCAUGUGGAAUAGUUUUGAGCUGAUGGCCCGUCUAAUCUAUAUAAUGAUUUCCUAGAUUGUCUUCUGUUGAAUUUAAGCUUACUUUAUCUAUUAGGCCUCCUGUUUCUAUGAUGUACAGAGUUGUAUAUAGAAAACUAUGUUAUCUUACUGUUGCAUUCGAUUUUGGGUGAUGCUGCAAAGCAUUCCGCACAUUUACUACAGGUUUUUUGCCGUAAAUGUGGCGUUUAUUUGGAGCCAGAUUUGGUUAGUGGAUCAACUGAUCAAGUUAGACCAAGUAUAUACAUAUCUGGUUGGUUUAUGAAAGAGUAGAUAUAGGCAAGGAGUUGAAUUUUGGAAGUCCAAUUUGGAUUCUUGUGGUUAGGAGAGGGGGACUCCUGAAAGUUGAGAUUAGAUGUACAGAGUUGUAUGGUUCUCUUAGGGUGAUUAAAAGGUAGAUUGGAUGGCAGUGGAGGUGAUGUUCUCCCGAUGUUAUCUUUCCCGCAGAACCAGGACGGGGAUUUAGAGUCUAAGAGGUCAGGCAUUGCUGUUACAAUAUCCUUGAUCGAGGAGGGUUGAAGUUUAAUGCUGAGUUGGUCAGAGGGAAAGCUUGCUUUCUAGUUCCAGAAGGCAUUGCUUCCUUCACCAAUCUUAACCCCGGUAAGAUGAGCUUCUGCAGAUCUAGGGCAGGGUUAACAAGGUUGAGUAUCGCAGGGUAUUAGUCGUGCAUCUCUUCCAAAAGACGGUAUAAAAUGAAAUUGUGAGACAUGGAUGUCUAGUGUUAGGAAUCGCAGUUUGAGCACCGAGUCAUCCAAGGCUCGAUGAAUUGCCUUCUUGUUGUACAUGUAAAAUUCAAUACUGCAUUGCAUCUUGAUUUUGUCUUCCCUAUAUAUAUAUAUAUAUUGACAAAGUUUAGGAUUGGUAGCGUAGGUAACUUUCACUAGCUGGUUUUAGUUUCUCAAUAAUUUUCAGGAAGCAUGACUUUGGUCUGUCAACAGUAAACAAAUUCGAGUUUUAUGAUCAAUGUGUACUUAUGUCAUCGUUAUUCUGGUGUUUCCCAAUAUAUGUGUGUACAAAUCUACAAAGUUUCAUGACGAAUGUGGAUUUAAGAGUUUUAAGUUUGUCUUCUUUUCUUUUUCCAGGGAAAGUUGAGCCUGCAAGACACCUAUUUGUACGCGGGGAAAUCGUUGUCUCCGAGAACCUGAAAGCCCAUCGUCUACAACUCCGACCACAAGAAGUUCGUUGUUUUCGCGAAUCCGUCUGAGUUUUGAGCCCCUCUACUAGUACCGUCCUCUCCAAAAAUGACCUUCAUAGAAGAUAUGAUCUGUUGAGCAGCUGGAGGUGAAGGCGAAAAUGAUGCGAGGGCGAGGAAAUGAGAAGCGAAAACUAGGUUAACAAAAAUGAACAAGAGUACCAACCUCGGAUGCAGCUAUAUAACCAUCACAUGAUUCAUGCUGGGCAGCCUUCUAACUUUGUAUUUUAUAGGAUUAAGUAUUAUGUUUUCUAUGGUUGAUGAGCUAAAAUGUCGAAAAAAUAGGUCUUCGUUAAUGUUGUAUAUGCUGUGAAACAAAAUGCAGUGCGUGACUGUGAUGUUUAGUUGUCUAUCAAGC